UACGUAGGUUGCGAGCGUUAAUCGGAAUUACUGGGCGUAAAGCGUGCGCAGGCGGUUUUUUAAGACUGGGGUGAAAUCCCCGGGCUUAACCUGGGGACUUCAUUUGUGACUGCAAGACUAGAGUGUGGCAGAGGGGGGUAGAAUUCCACGUGUAGCAGUGAAAUGCGUAGAUAUGUGGAGGAAUACCGAUGGCGAAGGCAGCCCCCUGGGUCAACACUGACGCUCAUGCACGAAAGCGUGGGGAGCAAACAGG
rnacentral:rRNA from 1 species